rnacentral:tRNA from 1 species
GACCUUAUGGUCAAGAUAAUGAUUUUAGACUGCAAUUCUGAAGGGGUAAGAUGUACUUACUAAGGUUU